rnacentral:rRNA from 1 species
UGCGAACUCCUACGGGAGGCAGCAGUGGGGAAUAUUGCACAAUGGGGGAAACCCUGAUGCAGCCAUGCCGCGUGUGUGAAGAAGGCCUUCGGGUUGUAAAGCACUUUCAGCAAGGAGGAAAGGGUGGAAGCUAAUACCUUCCACCUGUGACGUUACUUGCAGAAGAAGCACCGGCUAACUCCGUGCCAGCAGCCGCGGUAAUACGGAGGGUGCAAGCGUUAAUCGGAAUUACUGGGCGUAAAGCGCACGCAGGCGGUUGGAUAAGUCAGAUGUGAAAGCCCCGGGCUCAACCUGGGAACUGCAUUUGAAACUGUCCGGCUAGGGUCUUGUAGAGGGGGGUAGAAUUCCAGGUGUAGCGGUGAAAUGCGUAGAGAUCUGGAGGAAUACCGGUGGCGAAGGCGGCCCCCUGGACAAAGACUGACGCUCAGGUGCGAAAGCGUGGGGAGCAAACAGGAUUAGAUACCCGAGUAGUCCAGAUG